rnacentral:rRNA from 1 species
GACGAACGCUGGCGGCGUGCUUAACACAUGCAAGUCGAACGGAAAGGCCCUGCUCUUGUGGGGUGCUCGAGUGGCGAACGGGUGUGUAAAACGUGAGUAACCUGCACCUGUCUUUGGGAUAACUUCUGGAAACUGGGGCUAUUAUCGGAUAGAAUCUCUUGCUCCAUGGUGGGGGUUGGAAAGUUUCGGCGGUUGGGGAUGGACUAGCGGCUUAUCAGCUUGUUGGGGGGGUAGUGGCUUACCAAGGCUUUGACGGGUAGCCGGCCUGAGAGGGUGACCGGCCACAUGGGGACUGAGAUACGCCCCAGACUCCUACGGGAGGCAGCGGUGGGAAAUAUUGCACAAUGGGCGGAAGCCUGAUACAGCAACGCCGCGUGCGGGAUGACGGCCUUCUGGUUGUAAACCGCUUUCGCCUGUAACGAAGCGUGAGUGACGGUAAUUGGUAAAGAAGCACCGGCUAACUACGUG